CCAGUGGAGUUGCUGUUGCCUG
rnacentral:miRNA from 15 species